rnacentral:rRNA from 1 species
UGGGGAAUAUUGCACAAUGGGCGCAAGCCUGAUGCAGCCAUGCCGCGUGUAUGAAGAAGGCCUUUGGGUUGUAAAGUACUUUCAGCGGGGAGGAAGGGAGUAAAGUUAAUACCUUUGCUCAUUGACGUUACCCGCAGAAGAAGCACCGGCUAACUCCGUGCCAGCAGCCGCGGUAAUACGGAGGGUGCAAACGUUAAUCGGAAUUACUGGGCGUAAAGCGCACGCAGGCGGUUUGUUAAGUCAGAUGUGAAAUCCCCGGGCUUAACCCGGGAAUUGCAUCUGAAACUGGUCAGCUAGGGUCUUGAUAAGGGGGAUAGAAUUCCAUGUGAAACGGUGAAAUGCGUAGAGAAGUGGAGAAAUAACGGUGGCAGAAGCGGCCCCCUGGACAAGGACUGACGCUCAGGUGCGAAAGCGUGGGGAGCAAACAGG